rnacentral:rRNA from 1 species
GCCGAAUUAUAACAUAAACACAAGCAUAUUUCAAAUUAUUAAAACAAACCAUUUGAUACACUAAGUAGAUGUGAUCGAACAGUAAAUAAUCCCCACACAGUACCGUAAGGGAAACUAACAAGCAAAAAACAGCAAAGAUUAACCCUUGUACCUUUCGCAUCAUGGUCUAGCAAGAAACUAAGGACAAGAAGACUCACAGCCCAUACCCCGAAACCAGAUGAGCUACUUUAAAGCAGCCCAAUAGAGCACACCCUUCUCUGUAGCAAAAGAGUGGGAAGACUUAAAAGUAGAGGUGAAACGCCAAUCGAAUCUGGAGAUAGCUGGCUACCCAAAAAAGAAUAUUAGUUCCACCUUAGGCCACUUAAAUACCAACUAAUUAUGCCUAAAGAGAUUCAAUAGGGGUACAGCUCUAUUGAAACAGGAUACAACCUGACUUUGUGAGCACACCUCACCCAACCAUGACCCGUAGGCCUUAAAGCAGCCAUCUAACAAAAUAUCGUUAUAGAAUUAGACACUAAAUUAAAAAACACAACAAAAACUCCAAACUAACUAAGGGUAAACCCACUACCGUGGGUUCUAUUAUGCUAGAACUAAUAAUAAGACAACCUCUCUACACGCACCCAUCCGCUAGAAACAGAAAGACUACUAGCCAUUAACAGACCACAAUAGGAAAUCAACAAACAAUACACACCAAAAUAAACACUGUGAACCCAACACAGGUGCGUCAAAAAGAAAGAUCAACCAUUAUAAAAGGAACUCGGCAACCAAAGACCCCAACUGUUUAACAAAAACAUAACCUUUAGCCACAAACAAGUAUUAAAGGCAACGCCUGCCCAGUGAACAAUUAAACGGCCGCGGUACCCUAA